UAUAAUUUUACCAUAUUAUUUUAAGCGACAUAUGAGGUGGAUAUACAUGUAAUCUGUGUUUGGGAUCAUUCCCCCGGGAGUCUUUUUGGUGGGACCAACACAGGUAUUUACUUGGAAAUUUUUGAGAGACCAUAUAACCUUAUGCAUGCUUGCUGGACAUUAAGCGAUAAUACAAUUAUAUAAAUAUGUAUGUUAUCAUGAUGAUUGAAGAGUUACUCCAGUUGAGAUCCUAACAAUAAACAAUAUGCUUGAUAUGAAAAAAAAAAAUACGCUCCUGUUACAUUGUAUAAGACUGGCUGAUAUCCGUGGACAAACCCCUUAGGUCUUUUGUACAUUUUGUUAUAACAUUAUGAAGCAAAGAAGCAAAGUUGGUAAGAAUUUAAGAAGGACUUAGCUGACUGAAGGUCAAGGUCACUGGGUCAGAGACUAAGGUCAAUCUGACUGAAGGUCAAGGUCACUGGGUCAGAGACCAAGGUCACAUUUUUAUGUUAAUUAUCUGAUUAAAAUUUUGUGAUGCAAUUAUGAAGUAAAAUUAGUUGGAAUCAAACAAGGAAUCAACUGUCCAAAGAUCAAGGUCACUAGGUCAAAAGUAAAGGACGUUUUGUCAAAAAGGUCAAGGACAAAGUGGAUGUCUGAAUGACCCUUGUUCCUAGUGGGAGUCAUAUUAAGGAUUAAAAUAAAACAAAUCAAAACCAACAAAAGAGUUUUAUACAGGUAUUUCAAUUUCUGUUAGCCCAGCAUAUAUGGAGGUGGAUGUAUAUAACGUAUAUUUUGCUCUCAUGUCACAAGAUGGGGCCUUUGAUGACAUCUCAGUGUUCUAGCUUUAUUUUGAAUUUGAUCCAGAAAACAACAUGGCUGACAGUUUAAGUUUUGUAUUAAGAUUUCUGAUUCACAGAAAGUUCUUUCUAAAUAACUCCUAGAUUUCAUAUGUAUAUGUUCCCCUUGUCUCAAGCUUCAUAUGUGUGUUUCCUUGGUCCCCGGUUGUGUCCAAUUGGUUUUGAGUCUGAUCCAAAAAUCAAAACUGUUGACAGUUGAAGUUAAGCAUUACUAUUUCUAAUUCACAGAAAAUUCUUCUCUAAGAUGUCUCUUAGAUCACAUAUGUAGGCUUCCUUGUUAUCAGAUCAUAAAAGUAGAGAAAAGAUCAUAUAUAGAACAAAUAAAGAUCAUUCAAUUUUGGAUCUCUUGUAAUAAGUUUUAAAAUGUCAGUUGUAAAGUCUUUGAAUAUCUAGUUCCAUAUAGUGAUAGCAUGGCUUGUCUCUUGCACAGUUUCUGUUGUGACCUCUUGUUCCAUGAUAGACAGUUGUUUGGAACAUUUUGUCAUACUUCACAAUGUCAAUGUUACUUAGUAUUUUGAAAAGUUCUAUGAUAAUGUUCUGAAUGUAAGUGAUGAGCUGACUUCUCUAAGCAAAGUGUUUAUAUCAGCUUAUCCUAAAGGUGAUGUUCAGCCAUGCGUGACUACAAUCGGCGUAGUCUACACUUGCCAUUGUUGUACAUUAUACUUGUGUAUAUAUCAUAUUCUGUCUUUCUUCAUAACAAUAUCUGCAUGCUCUCUGCUGUAUUCCAGGGAAAGAAGUCCAUAGAUUUCUUCGUACAUUUAUCGACCAAUAUCUUUGAAACUUGAAAGGCUUUAUAACCAUGAUUAAUAGUUUUGUUUCUCUGAGAGGCAUUUUGAUUUGACUUUUUUUUUUGCAAAUUUAUGGCCCUUUGGUUAUUCCUGAAUUAGAUUUUUGUCUACAUUUUUCAAUGAUUUCUUAAAAAAACUUGAUAGGCUUUAUAAUCAUGAUAUCAAGUUGUUUUCAAUUGAAGACUAGUGAAAGUAAAGAUGAGGGUUAAAUCAUGCAACCUAUACAUAUAACUUCUAUAAGAUGAUGCAAAUCUUAUUUCAUUGCAAGAUAGUAUACAACACCAUAGGCCAUUUGUCAGGCCUUUACUCUUGUUGUCAUUGCAUGUGACCAUAUAGGUGAUACAUAUUUCAGAUACAAUCUUACUUAUGUCUUUUGUAAAGCUGUAUGGACAUCUUACAUUAUCCAUGAAAGUGAAAGUUCUGAACAUUAAACCAAGGUUUCUGUUAGCUUUGGACACCACUUUAGCUAUAUGCUCAUUGAAAUUCAAUUUGUUGUAAACUAACAGUACAUGACCAAGAUCUUAUUCACUUUCAGUGGUGGUAAUUUGUUAUUUGGUUAUCCUACUUGAUAGUGUAGAUUACAGGUCGUUGAGAUGCCCAAUCCUCAUGUGUUUACAUUUUCUAGGUUUAGAUUCAUCUGCCAUUUUUCUGUUGACUCCCAGGGUGCGUCUAAAUGUACGUUGUUAAUUACUCUCUUACUAUGUCAAACAAAAUUAUAUGUACAGUGUAUAAAGGUAUGUAGAGAAAUUUUCAGUACAUGUACAUAUUAGUAUUGCUAUGGAAAAUUUAUCAACAAAUAGUCUAUUACCCCUUCAGUACUAUUAUAGGGGACUCUACUGGAAAGACAACAGGUUUGUGGUUAGUCUGCCAUCAGUACUACUGGAGGGGACUACAGGUUUGUGGUUAGUCUCCCAUCAGUACUACUGGAGGGGACAACAGGUUUGUGGUUAGUCUGCCAUCAGUACUACUGGAGGGAAUAACAGGUUUGUGGUAAGUCUCCCAUCAGUACUACUGGAGGGGACAACAGGUUUGUGGUUAGUCUCCCAUCAGUACUACUGGAGGGGACUAUAGGUUUGUGGUUAGUCUCCCAUCAGUACUACUGGAGGGGACAACAGGUUUGUAGUUAGUCUGCCAUCAGUACUACUGGAGGGGACAACAGGUUUGUGGUUAGUCUCCCAUCAGUACUACUGGAGGGGACAACAUGUUUGUGGUUAGUCUCCCAUCAGUACUACUGGAGGGGACAACAGGUUUGUGGUUAGUCUCCCAUCAGUACUACUGGAGGGGACAACAGGUUUGUGGUUAGUCUCCCAUCAGUACUACUGGAGGGGACAACAGGUUUGUGGUUAGUCUCCCAUCAGUACUACUGGAGGGGACAACAGGUUUGUGGUUAGUCUCCCAUCAGUACUACUGGAGGGGACAACAGGUUUGUGGUUAGUCUCCCAUCAGUACUACUGGAGGGGACAACAGGUUUGUGGUUAGUCUCCCAUCAGUACGUGUACUACUGGAGGGGACAACAGGUUUGUGGUUAGUCUCCCAUCAGUACUACUGGAGGGGACAACAGGUUUGUAGUUAGUCUGCCAUCAGUACUACUGGAGGGGACAACAGGUUUGUAGUUAGUCUGCCAUCAGUACUACUGGAGGGGACAACAGGUUUGUAGUUAGUCUGCCAUCAGUACUACUGGAGGGGACAACAGGUUUGUGGUUAGUCUACCAUCAGUACUACUGGAGGGGACUAUAGGUUUGUGGUUAGUCUGCCAUCAGUACUACUGGAGGGGACAACAGGUUUGUGGUUAGUCUUCCAUCAGUACUACUGGAGGGGACAACAGGUUUGUGGUUAGUCUGCCAUCAGUACUACUGGAGGGGACAACAGGUUUGUGGUUAGUCUUCCAUCAGUACUACUGGAGGGGACAACAGGUUUGUGGUUAGUCUGCCAUCAGUACUACUGGAGGGGACAACAGGUUUGUGGGUAGUCUGCCAUCAGUACUACUGGAGGGGACAACAGGUUUGUGGUUAGUCUGCCAUCAGUACUACUGGAGGGGACAACAGGUUUGUGGUUAGUCUACCAUCAGUACUACUGGAGGGGACAACAGGUUUGUGGUUAGUCUGCCAUUAGUACUACUGGAGGGGACUACAUGUUUGUGGUUAGUCUCCCAUCAGUACUACUGGAGGGGACAACAGGUUUGUGGUUAGUCUGCCAUCAGUACUACUGGAGGGGACAACAGGUUUGUGGUUAGUCUGCCAUCAGUACUACUGGAGGGGACAACAGGUUUGUGGUUAGUCUGCCAUCAGUACUACUGGAGGGGACAACAGGUUUGUGGUUAGUCUCCCAUCAGUACUACUGGAGGGGACUACAGGUUUGUGGUUAGUCUCCCAUCAGUACUACUGGAGGGGACAACAGGUUUGUGGUUAGUCUUCCAUCAGUACUACUGGAGGGGACUACAGGUUUGUGGUUAGUCUGCCAUCAGUACUACUGGAGGGGACUACAGGUUUGUGGUUAGUCUGCCAUCAGUACUACUGGAGGGGACAACAGGUU